AUGAUGAUGAUGAUGAUGAUGACGCUGCGGAAGCAGGUCCAUCAAAAGAAGUCUGGAGCAGCAGAAGUGGGACUUCUGUAAGACAUCACCACAAAAAACCUGUGGCAGCAAAGAAAGCAAGGUCUGAUGUCCAGGGCCAACCACAGCAGGCUACCCCACCACGAAGAUUAUCGACAGUAUGUUCGGUCCCCCCACUCCAAAUUUUGGACACACCUCCAAGACGUCAUCCACACUCCCCUCAUCUUGAUUCUUCUAGUCCUGGUAACAGCAUCCCUCCGCAACAACAGCAACACAGUGACAUGGAGGAGACAAUCAUCUUAGAAAUGCAGCCAUUAAGCGAAGGAAUCAGCCCCCCAGCACCUGUGAGUACACCACCACAGCAAAGCACACCACCACCACCAAACAGCCCAACAACACCAGUAACACAAGGCCC